rnacentral:rRNA from 1 species
AGCUUGCUCCCGGAUGUUAGCGGCGGACGGGUGAGUAACACGUGGGUAACCUGCCUGUAAGACUGGGAUAACUCCGGGAAACCGGAGCUAAUACCGGAUAGUUCCUUGAACCGCAUGGUUCAAGGAUGAAAGACGGUUUCGGCUGUCACUUACAGAUGGACCCGCGGCGCAUUAGCUAGUUGGUGGGGUAAUGGCUCACCAAGGCGACGAUGCGUAGCCGACCUGAGAGGGUGAUCGGCCACACUGGGACUGAGACACGGCCCAGACUCCUACGGGAGGCAGCAGUAGGGAAUCUUCCGCAAUGGACGAAAGUCUGACGGAGCAACGCCGCGUGAGUGAUGAAGGUUUUCGGAUCGUAAAGCUCUGUUGUUAGGGAAGAACAAGUGCGAGAGUAACUGCUCGCACCUUGACGGUACCUAACCAGAAAGCCACGGCUAACUACGUGCCAGCAGCCGCGGUAAUACGUAGGUGGCAAGCGUUGUCCGGAAUUAUUGGGCGUAAAGGGCUCGCAGGCGGUUUCUUAAGUCUGAUGUGAAAGCCCCCGGCUCAACCGGGGAGGGUCAUUGGAAACUGGGAAACUUGAGUGCAGAAGAGGAGAGUGGAAUUCCACGUGUAGCGGU